UACAGAGGGUGCGAGCGUUAAUCGGAAUUACUGGGCGUAAAGCGCGCGUAGGCGGCUUUGCAAGUCGAGUGUGAAAUCCCCAGGCUUAACCUGGGAACUGCAUUCGAGACUGCAUGGCUAGAGUAUGGGAGAGGGAAGUGGAAUUUCAGGUGUAGCGGUGAAAUGCGUAGAUAUCUGAAGGAACAUCAGUGGCGAAAGCGACUUCCUGGACCAAUACUGACGCUCAUGUGCGAAAGCGUGGAGAGCAAACAGG
rnacentral:rRNA from 1 species